rnacentral:rRNA from 2 species
GGACUACUGGGGUUUCUAAUCCUGUUUGAUCCCCACGCUUUCGUGCCUCAGAGUCAAUAGUAGUGUAGCGAGCUGCCUUCGCAAUUGGUGUUCUAUGUCAUAUCUAAGCAUUUCACCGCUACAUGACAUAUUCCGCUCACCUCCACUGUAUUCAAGACAGAUAGUAUCAAUGGCAGUUCUGGGGUUAAGCCCCAGGAUUUCACCACUGACUUACCUGCCCUCCUACGCACCCUUUAAACCCAGUGAAUCCGGAUAACGCUUGCACCCUCCGUAUUACCGCGGCGGCUGGCAC